GAUGAACGCUGGCGGCGUGCCUAAUACAUGCAAGUCGAGCGAACAGACGAGGAGCUUGCUCCUCUGACGUUAGCGGCGGACGGGUGAGUAACACGUGGAUAACCUACCUAUAAGACUGGGAUAACUUCGGGAAACCGGAGCUAAUACCGGAUAAUAUAUUUAACCGCAUGGUUCAAUAGUGAAAGACGGUUUUGCUGUCACUUAUAGAUGGAUCCGCGCCGCAUUAGCUAGUUGGUAAGGUAACGGCUUACCAAGGCACGAUGCGUAGCCGACCUGAGAGGGUGAUCGGCCACACUGGAACUGAGACACGGUCCAGACUCCUACGGGAGGCAGCAGUAGGGAAUCUUCCGCAAUGGGCGAAAGCCUGACGGAGCAACGCCGCGUGAGUGAUGAAGGUCUUCGGAUCGUAAAACUCUGUUAUUAGGGAAGAACAAAUGUGUAAGUAACUAUGCACGUCUUGACGGUACCUAAUCAGAAAGCCACGGCUAACUACGUG
rnacentral:rRNA from 1 species